rnacentral:lncRNA from 1 species
CCUAAUUGGCAACUGAGAAAGAAAAAACAUUUAGCCACUUCCCUCUUCAUGGCUCACUUCUCCAUCUGAACCUAGCAAAAAUAAAUCUAUAAAAAUAAAGAAAGACGAAAUCAACAAGAUUUGCCGGAAGCCCUAAAAAUUCGCCAUUGCUGCCGGAUACGUACACUUCUCUCUCUACUCUUAUUUCUUAUAGGGUUGGUAUGAUGAUAUCUAUCGUUCAAAGCCACUGUCUCUCGCUCACUAGGGCUUUUAAUUAGUAGGGUUUGGAAAAAAAAAAGACAAUGUCGGCUUAAUUAAUUUUGCAGUUUCUGGGUCUCGUUCUCUAUAUAUCUGUUUGGAUCUGUAUAUCUAUCAAGUACAUUUGUGGUCGGAUUCUUUUGCUUCUUUUUUUUUUAUUUGUAAUAACAAUCAAAUUAAGUUCUGGUUUCAGAUCUAGGGCUUUCUUUUGGUAACUCAGAUCUAGGGCUUUCUCCCUCUUUUCUUUUUAAAAUUUCGUCUAGCUUUGCUCACCGUCAUUAGGCUUUUAUUACAGCUUUACUGAUUGGAAUUGAGGAGAAAUAAAAUCUUGCAUAUCUUUUGGUUCUUGUUUUUUUCGUUUUGGUUUAAUCGUUUUUGUUGUGUUCUUCUUACCAGAUUUUUGUUCUUGUAAAGGAGAUGAAACCCCUUUUAGUUGUUUUAAAUUGACAUUUUUGGCGUUUCCACAACAUAAAUAAUCAAAUUAUUUAACUAAUUUGAGUUUUUCUAAAUGUCGGCACUAAUUUCCCAUUUAAUUCGUCUGCAAAAAAAUUUCCCAUUUAAUUCUUGCAUUUACUCUUUGCCGCGUAUAAUAAAUUUAAGUUUAUUUUGAAUUCCACGAAAUAUGUAUUAACAUCUCGACAAAUACAGGUACGGGACCACUUUCGAUACAUACUUCAACCUAGGCCUGGGCAAAAUAACCGGAACUGAAGAACCGAAUCGAAACCGAACCGAAAUACCCGAAACCGGAACCGGACCAAUAUCCUCAAAUAUUCGAACGGUUCCUAUAUUUUUAUAUCCGAAAUAACCAAACCGAACCGGAACCGAACCGAGAACCGAACAGGUACCCGAAUAUAUAAAAAUAUUAAUUAUAUAUACAUAUAACAUCACUAAAUAUAUAUUUUAAAUUUAAAAUUCUAUUAAAAGUAUCUGAAAAUAGUUGAGGAUAACUAAAUUAUUAUAAAGUAUCCAAACUACCCGAAAGUAUCUGAAAGUAUCCGGAUAGUUUUAUCCGAAAUAUCCAAAGUAAUCCAAAAUAUCCAAAAUUUUUAUGUAAAUCAUCUUAAUUAUUUGAUAUUUUACCCUAAAUAACCGAUAUUUUAUCCAAAUUAUCCGAACUACCCGAACUAUCCGAACCCGAACCGGAUCCAAAUGAGAACCGAACUUUUUCCGGAUAUUUUCCGGUUCCUACAUUUACUAUCCGAACCGAACCGAACCCGAAACUAUCCGAACCGAACCGAACCGAAAAUAGGUCAAGUACUAAAUGGAUCCUCUAACCCCUAUCCGAACUACCCGAAACUCGAAAUACCCGAACCGAACCGAACCGAUACCCGAAAUUCUCAGGCCUACUUCGACCUUUUGUUAUUCUUCAAACAGUCGAUUUUGGUUUUCUUUUUUUACUUUAUCUUAUACCAUCUUUUCCGCUAAGAAUAUUGUAACUCUUUGGUUAUAGAAUCCUCCGAAUUUCCUUCUCAUUAUCUUCCAAACAUGUCAUUCGACCUUAUUUGUGCUUUGCUUAUUCAGAAACCAUCGUACUAUCUUCGCUAGGCGUGUUCAAAGUUAAGGCAAAAACACUUUGAUCAAAUACUUUUUUAAUUUUUUUUGUUGAGUGGCUUCUAAGAGCAUUUUUAUUGAAGGUCUCUUAGGUUGGGUCUCUUAGCGUAAUAUAAGAUACGAUCUCUUAACUUUUAACUAAAAAAGCUAAGAGACGUCUCUUAGAUAAGAGAUAUAAAAGACGUCUCUUAGCUUUUUUAGUUAAAAGCUAAGAGACCGUAUCUUAUAUUACGUUAAGAGACACAAUUUAAGAUACCUACCAUAAACAUGUUAUAACUAUCUCAUUGGGUUCUUAUGUUUGGCAAAGCACUUCCUAUUAUUUUAGAAUGUAGACAUAUGUUUUGGUCGACUAGCUAAUAAAAUAUAAACAUAUUUUUUUUAUCGACAAGGUGAUAUGAUAUAAAGAUAUAAAAUAUCUAAUUCGACAUUUUCACAUAAAAUAUAAAAUUUUAAAAUAAAUUAUAGAACACAUAAAAGUAACUUUUUGUGUACUUAUUCGUUUUAUCUUUUUCAAAUGUCUUUUUGCUCACUUUAUAUAAUUCUAUUCUCUUAUAGAAUUUUAUUUUAACUAAUUUAAUAUAUUUCCAUAUUCCUUUCAGUAAAUUGACGACACUUAAUUUUUCUUGGACAAUUUUCCUAACUUGUAUCUAUAGUAACAACCUCUACGCAAAACACAAAACCUCAUAGGAAACAGAUACACUUGAGCAAACCUUAUGCUCUAAACAAAAUGCAAAACCUCUUCCCCGUAUUGUCUGUUAUAUUUGGCUUUACUAAUGUAUUUUCAUGUUUGGCGUUGAUAUGAACGAAAAGAUUGAAUCAUUUGCAUAUGAACUUCUGAUUCACACAUAUCUGUCAACAAAGUAUUAUUAACUUGAGAAAGUAACGAUACAAAUCGAUAUCAGCACAUACUACGGUAGUUGUACACGAGGUCUCUUGGUUUCCCCAAGAAGUGAUGAAGAUCCGCAAAGACGCUGCUGCUGCAAGAUAUAUAACCAAACAAUAUUAAUUUGGGAAAUACUACAUAAACUUGGUCAACCGAAAGAAAAACGGCGCCCAUUAAUCUUUGAUGUUGAACUAUAUAGUAAUGAUUAAUAAACAAACUCCUAAUCUAAUUAUAUAACAUUAAUUAUUUGAUCUUAGUAUAUCGGGAUCUGAGAUAGCCUAUAAAACUUGAAUAUACAAACCAAUAAGAACUCUUAAAAGUUAAUAAAAUGUGACUCGUAGAUACAGAACAAAGGUACCUCUAUGGAACUAGCUGCCCAUUGGCUGCGAUGGUGAUCAAGCAUCGGAAAUGAUGGAUUGAAUUCGUCCGAAAUGUGAUAUUUUCUAUCCACCACAAUUUCGUUGCAAACUGCAAAACGAUCGUUCUUGCAAAGAGGUUCUUGGAUCGUUUCUUCGCAGGGCGUCGCCUUCACAUUGCUUUUAUUAUUCUUUUGGACUAUCUCAUCAUGAUGAUUAUGAACUUCUUCUUCUACAACAACAUUCACUUGUGCACUUCUCUUCAUCAUCUUCUCCUUUGUCCUAUCCUUUGCUCUCUCUCUUGCUUUCGCUCUCGCGUCCUUAGACAACUUCUUCAAAAUGGGAGUUCGCGGUUGCGACAUCCUUCUCUUCCCUCUCACCGAUCUCCUAUCUACCUUAUUUCCUCUUGUUUCUAAUGCAAACAUAUAGAUUAAUUAAUAAUUUUAAAACCUCAACGAAUUCCCGACAAAUUCUCGGUGACCGUCUUCCCAACGAAUUCCCGACUAACCGACUAACCACAUACCGUUCAUGUUAGUGUUGCUGCCUCUAUCCUCGACUGUCCACAUUGAUGAAAGUUCAAAUAUAUCAGACGAUGUGUCCAUCAAUCCUAACGCCGGUCCUUGAUUAAUUUGGAAAGUUACAAUGUCAAAUUAAACAUGAAGAAGACCAAGAUUUUUCAUAAUAGAUAGAAACUUUAGUAGACUUUAAACUAGAAAAUAAUGUAUAUUUACUGGGUUGAGACUCGUCGCAGCUGCUGAACCGGCCGUGAUUGAACUUGUUAGAAAGGCUGUUCGCGAUCUUUAUG